GGAUAACCUACCCUUAGGACCGGGAUAACCUUGGGAAACUGAGGAUAAUACUGGAUAGGCAAUUUUUCCUGUAAUGGUUUUUUGUUUAAAUGUUUUUUCGCCUAAGGAUGGGUCUGCGGCCGAUUAGGUAGUUGGUUAGGUAACGGCUUACCAAGCCGUUGAUCGGUACGGGUUGUGAGAGCAAGAGCCCGGAGAUGGAACCUGAGACAAGGUUCCAGGCCCUACGGGGUGCAGCAGGCGCGAAACCUCCGCAAUGUGAGAAAUCGCGACGGGGGGACCCCAAGUGCCAUUCUUAACGGGAUGGCUUUUCAUUAGUGUAAAAAGCUUUUGGAAUAAGAGCUGGGCAAGACCGGUGCCAGCCGCCGCGGUAACACCGGCAGCUCUAGUGGUAGCAAUUUUUAUUGGGCCUAAAGCGUCCGUAGCCGGUUUAAUAAGUCUCUGGUGAAAUCCUGUAGCUUAACUGUGGGAAUUGCUGGAGAUACUAUUAGACUUGAGACCGGGAGAGGUUAGAGGUACUCCCAGGGUAGAGGUGAAAUUCUGUAAUCCUGGGAGGACCGCCUGUUGCGAAGGCGUCUAACUGGAACGGUUCUGACGGUGAGGGACGAAAGUUAGGGGCGCGAACCGGAUUAGAUACCCGGGUAGUCCUAACUGUAAACGAUGCGGACUUGGUGUUGGGGUGGCUUUGAGCUGCUCCAGUGCCGAAAGGGAAGCUGUUAAGUCCGCCGCCUGGGAAG
rnacentral:rRNA from 1 species